rnacentral:rRNA from 1 species
AGUGAACGCUGGCGGCGUGCCUAACACAUACAAGUCGAGCGAUUCUCUUCGGAGAAGAGCGGCGGACGGGUGAGUAACGCGUGGGUAACCUGCCCUGUACACACGGAUAACAUACCGAAAGGUAUGCUAAUACGAGAUAAUAUACUUUUAUCGCAUGGUAGAAGUAUCAAAGCUUUUGCGGUACAGGAUGGACCCGCGUCUGAUUAGCUAGUUGGUAAGGUAACGGCUUACCAAGGCGACGAUCAGUAGCCGACCUGAGAGGGUGAUCGGCCACAUUGGAACUGAGACACGGUCCAAACUCCUACGGGAGGCAGCAGUGGGGAAUAUUGCACAAUGGGCGAAAGCCUGAUGCAGCAACGCCGCGUGAGCGAUGAAGGCCUUCGGGUCGUAAAGCUCUGUCCUCAAGGAAGAUAAUGACGGUACUUGAGGAGGAAGCCCCGGCUAACUACGUGCCAGCCGCCGCUGUAA